rnacentral:rRNA from 1 species
UCGGGAAUUUUGGGCAAUGGGCGAAAGCCUGACCCAGCAACGCCGCGUGAAGGAUGAAGUAUUUCGGUAUGUAAACUUCGAAAGAAUAGGAAGAAUAAAUGACGGUACUAUUUAUAAGGUCCGGCUAACUACGUGCCAGCAGCCGCGGUAAUACGUAGGGACCAAGCGUUGUUCGGAUUUACUGGGCGUAAAGGGCGCGUAGGCGGGUCGUUAAGUUGGGGGUGAAAUCCCGAGGCUCAACCUCGGAACUGCCUUCAAAACUGGCGACCUGGACCUAAGUAGAGGCAAGUGGAAUUGCGAGUGUAGAGGUGAAAUUCGUAGAUAUUCGCAGGAACACCAGUGGCGAAGGCGACUUGCUGGACUUAUGGUGACGCUGAGACGCGAAAGCGUGGGGAGCAAACAGGAUUAGAUACCCGAGUAGUCCCUGAGCGGGCUGGCAAGGCGCAU